UGUAAUCGGAUGGUACAGAAAUAUCAAU
rnacentral:sRNA from 1 species